UGGCGGACCCGUCGGCCGGCCUCCGUACCGUCGAGGCGAUCUGCCCGGUUCUCGCGGACUGGGUGGGCCGCGACCGCGGAAGUCUCACCUCCGGCUACACGAUGUUACUCCCACACUGAGGAAGCCAACCGCGAACACUUGUCAAGCACGCACAAGCACGCACUUCACCGGAAAAACCUGCCUCCGCCAGCGGAACCCGAACACCGCCGCAUCGCCAGACACGAACGCACCGGACGUCUUAUCUUACAGUAAAUGCCAUGUGAUGAAGUCGACAGUCAAACUGGGCAACAUGAGCCAGAACGUAAGAUGUGACGAUUUCUUCGUGGCUCAGAUCUUCCAUCGAGGUAACAGAGACGUUAUUACACGACUUACGUAUGCUGCAUUCACGCUCUUGUGGCGUACCACUACUAGUAUUCUGAUCUGCAUCAUGUUUUUUUUUGCUGUACUUCGAACAUAUUCAAACACGUCACGCCAGUGAGAGUAGAGUCCUGAUCCCACUUCUGAUGUCGGCACACGUCAGGGAUGGCUGAACACUCGUAGUUUCGUCAUCACUCGUAUUCGAUUGAACUCAGUUUAGUUAAUAAAACUUUUUGAAUAACAAUUAUUGAAACUCAACACACACAACUUUCACAAUGACAGGAUAAACCGACAGUUUCGUUGCACAUACCGACAGACCGACUGACUGAGACGGACGGAAUGACUGUCUGACACGGAAUGCCACGACUCUGUCCACGUACCGCCAUUUUAUACUGUGGCGUUACGUAGUCUACCCUUCAUUUU